UGAGAAGGUCCGCUACAACUAGAGCAGCCUCGAUUCUUUCAGCUCCGUUCUGGUAGAAAGGGCACCAAACAGCUGAAGCGUACUCGAGAAUAGAACGAACUAUGCAACAAUAAAGACUUUUCAGGCAGUAUACGUCUUUGAAGUCUUUGGCCAUACGAAACAAGAAUCCAAGGCUUCGAGAAGCUUUGUCGACAACAUAGUUCGUAUGAAUCUUGAACUCCAGCCUUCGGUCGAGAAUAACGCCCAGAUCGUUGAUAUGGUCCACCCGGAUGAUGGUUUGGUCUCCGAGGAUGUACUCUGCAUGAAGAGGAUGCCGCUUACGGGUAAACGAUAUUACCGAGCAUUUACUGUGGUUCAAGGGCAAGCAGUUGAUAUCGCACCAGUGAGCAAAAGCGGUGAAUUGCUGUUGGAGGAAGUUGAUGUCGUCUUGGCCGUUUAUAGUGUGAAAAAGUUUCAGGUCAUCGGCAUAAGCGAGCUUUGUGCCACCGAGGAGCGAGAGUACAUCGUUAAAAUAGAUCACGAAAAUGAUCGGUCCCAAAUGACUUCCUUGAGGCACUCCUGAAGAAGCAACGAACUGCCUAGAAAAGGAUUCACCAGUACGAACGGAUAACUUUCGUCCCAUUAAGUUGGAUGAGAGGUGGUACCAAUAAAUAAACAAAACAGACAUUAAACAAGGGGAGAGUUUACGUGGGUAAGCGGACUAAACGACCAAGUCAGACAGCUAGAGAUAUUUGUAAAUUGGGAACAAAUAUCCAAAAUCUAAGUUUGCCAAAAUGUCUCGAAUUGGAACACCAGGUAAUCUACCUCGGGCCCUAAGGGUAUCCAGUAGCCAAGCCCUCGUUUGAUCAUACCUUUCACACGUCUAUACAACAUGAUCGAUGUCGUGGUAGCCAUCCCCACAAACGCAAACAAUGGUUGCAGCGAGAUUAAUACGAAACAAGUGCGCGUCAAGCCGGCAGUGAUUUGACAUGAGCCGAGAAAUCACGCGAAUGAAGUCGCGACUCAAGUUAAAAUGCUUAAACCAUGCCUUCGUCGGGACCUUACCCCCAGGCCCUUUUAAAGUCUUGAGCAAACAAUUUCGCGCGUAGGGUUGCGUUCAAUGCCAUAAAUUAAGAUUUUAACACUAAACGUGCAUCAGCCCAGUCAGCUGAUUGCACAGAAUGCACAUACACAAAUUCAAUUAUGAGCAUACCAGAUAAUCCUACGCCUGUAUAACACUGAUUGGUCAUUUUAACGACUUUCGGUUGUUAGUGUUGGUGACCAAAGUAGGCCUGGUUUUCUCAACGGUCAUUUUGCCUCCAUAACGAAGGUGCCGGAGCUGGACUGAAAAUGCUCAACGCAGAUUUGAAGGUGCUGGCGGUCUUUUUCAGAAAUCAGGAACGGCAAAAAUGCCUUUAUCUUGGAAUGAUUUUCCGGAGGAGCAUUAUCUCUGAAAGAUGUCACCGAUUGCUCCGGCAUUGGACAGAAGUCCUUCCGAACUGUUUCGCCCACAGCGUUGUACGCGGCGGGAGUUUGGAUUUGAUUGGAUUGGCCCUUCGUGUAAUCAUUCCAUUUUACCAGCAUACCAUGUCGGUGUUCCGAUGGUUGAAGCAAAUCACUGGGUCGGGCUGAAUUCCAGUACCGCAAAGGAGAAGGUCGAAAAGCCUGGUCUUGGUGCCGAGCAGUUGUAGCAGUAACGUGUAGUUUCAGUCCAAGAACGACCAAAAUACAUUGGCAAAAACAAAAGUGUAGUUGAAUAUUGUUUAAGUGUAGUAUUAUGAAAAAAGUUUUCAAUAAAAUUUAAAUAGGAAA